rnacentral:misc_RNA from 1 species
CUCCUGAAGAUUUUUUAAGUUAAGUAACCAAUAAAUCUUCAGGAGAGAAAUUCCAAAGUUAGUUCCGAUGUUGAAUUUUUUUUCUGCCACUCAUCAGAAAUCCUACAGAAGGAAAAUUCCAGGAGUAGAUAGGCUCUCAACAAUUCAAUGACUUAAAAGAAAAAGCACUUAGCAUUAUUAUUUUUAUCAAUUUCAUAAUUCAGAAAAGAAAAACCACUUAGCAAUAUUAUUUUAAUCCAUUUCAUAUUCAGCUUUAUAAUAUUUAUUGUAAUUCAUAAAAUUAUAAAUAUAAAU